rnacentral:rRNA from 1 species
GAUGAACGCUGGCGGCGUGCCUAAUACAUGCAAGUCGAGCGAACGGACGAGAAGCUUGCUUCUCUGAUGUUAGCGGCGGACGGGUGAGUAACACGUGGAUAACCUACCUAUAGGACUGGGAUAACUUCGGGAAACCGUAGCUAAUACCGGAUAAUAUUUUGAACCGCAUGGUUCAAAAGUGAAAGACGGUCUUGCUGUCACUUAUAGAUGGAUCCGCGCUGCAUUAGCUAGUUGGUAAGGUAACGGCUUACCAAGGCAACGAUGCAUAGCCGACCUGAGAGGGUGAUCGGCCACACUGGAACUGAGACACGGUCCAGACUCCUACGGGAGGCAGCAGUAGGGAAUCUUCCGCAAUGGGCGAAAGCCUGACGGAGCAACGCCGCGUGAGUGAUGAAGGUCUUCGGAUCGUAAAACUCUGUUAUUAGGGAAGAACAUAUGUGUAAGUAACUGUGCACAUCUUGACGGUACCUAAUCAGAAAGCCACGGCUAACUACGU